rnacentral:rRNA from 1 species
CGCUGCGAAAAGCCACGGGGAGCCGCGAGCAGGCGUUGAUCCGUGGAUAUCCGAAUGGGGCAACCCACCCCUUUGGGGUAUCACGACAUGAAUCCAUAGUGUCGUGAGGCAAACCCGGGGAACUGAAACAUCUCAGUACCCGGAGGAAAAGACAUCAACAGAGAUUCCGCUAGUAGUGGCGAGCGAACGCGGAACAGGCCAGUGGCCUGUUGGGGAUAAGCAGAACGGUCUGGAAAGUCCGGCCAUAGCGGGUGAUAGCCCCGUAUGCGUAAAGACCAGCAGGUCCUUGAGUAAGGCGGGACACGUGUAAUCCUGUCUGAACAUGGGGGGACCACCCUCCAAGCCUAAAUACUCCCUGGUGACCGAUAGUGAACAAGUACCGUGAGGGAAAGGUGAAAAGCACCCCGAUGAGGGGAGUGAAAUAGACCUGAAACCGGAUGCCUACAAGCAGUCGGAGCCUCUUAUGGGGUGACGGCGUACCUUUUGUAUAAUGGGUCAGCGAGUUUCUGUUCGCGGCAAGCUUAAGCCGAUAGGUGUAGGCGCA